AAUGUUUCCGUUAAUCAAGAACGAAAGUUAGAGGUUCGAAGGCGAUCAGAUACCGCCCUAGUUCUAACCAUAAACGAUGCCAGCCAGCGAUCCGCCGAAGUUCCUCCGAUGACUCGGCGGGCAGCUUCCGGGAAACCAAAGCUUUUGGGUUCCGGGGGAAGUAUGGUUGCAAAGCUGAAACUUAAAGGAAUUGACGGAAGGGCACCACCAGGAGUGGAGCCUGCGGCUUAAUUUGACUCAACACGGGAAACCUCACCAGGCCCGGACACCGGAAGGAUUGACAGAUUGAGAGCUCUUUCUUGAUUCGGUGGGUGGUGGUGCAUGGCCGUUCUUAGUUGGUGGAGCGAUUUGUCUGGUUAAUUCCGGUAACGAACGAGACUCUAGCCUGCUAAAUAGACGAUUUCCGGUAUCCACAAUAGUGCUACCGGCGAAAUCAAUAUCUUCUUAGAGGGACAGGCGGCUUUCAGCCGCACGAAACUGAGCAAUAACAGGUCUGUGAUGCCCUUAGAUGUCCUGGGCCGCACGCGCGCUACACUGAAGGAAUCAGCGUGUACACCCUGGCCGAAAGGCUCGGGCAACCCGUUGAACCUCCUUCGUGCUAGGGAUUGGGGCUUGCAAUUGUUCCCCAUGAACGAGGAAUUCCCAGUAAGCGCGAGUCAUAAGCUCGCGUUGAUUACGUCCCUGCCCUUUGUACACACCGCCCGUCGCUACUACCGAUUGAAUGAUUUAGUGAGGUCUUCGGACUGGUGCGCGGCGGCCGCCUGCGCGGCCGCCGAUGCCACCGGGAAGAUGACCGAACUUGAUCAU
rnacentral:rRNA from 1 species